rfam:Candidatus Methanosphaerula palustris E1-9c, complete genome.
AAUAGCGGCCAUAGCAGCUGGGACACACCUGGACCCAUUCCGAACCCAGAAGUUAAGCCAGUUCACGUACUAUAUUGUACUGAGGUACGCGAGUCCUCGGGAACUAUAAUACGCUGCUAUUA